UACGGGGGGGGCAAGCGUUGUUCGGAAUUACUGGGCGUAAGGGGCUCGUAGGCGGCCAACUAAGUCAGACGUGAAAUCCCUCGGCUUAACCGGGGAACUGCAUCUGAUACUGGAUGGCUUGAGUUCGGGAGAGGGAUGUGGAAUUCCAGGUGUAGCGGUGAAAUGCGUAGAUAUCUGGAGGAACACCGGUGGCGAAGGCGGCAUCCUGGACCGACACUGACGCUGAGGAGCGAAAGCCAGGGGAGCAAACGGG
rnacentral:rRNA from 1 species